rnacentral:rRNA from 1 species
UCCAGACUCCUACGGGAGGCAGCAGUGGGGAAUAUUGGACAAUGGGCGAAAGCCUGAUCCAGCCAGGCCGCGGGGAGAAGAAGGGCUUCGGAUUGUAAAGCACUUUAAGUUGGGAGGAAGGGCAGUAAGUUAAUACCUUGCUGUUUUGACGUUACCGACAGAAUAAGCACCGGCUAACUCUGUGCCAGCAGCCGCGGUAAUACAGAGGGUGCAAGCGUUAAUCGGAAUUACUGGGCGUAAACCGCGCGUAGGUGGUUUGUUAAGUUGGAUGUGAAAGCCCCGGGCUCAACCUGGGAACUGCAUCCAAAACUGGCAAGCUAGAGUACGGUAGAGGGUGGUGGAAUUUCCUGUGUAGCGGUGAAAUGCGUAGAUAUAGGAAGGAACACCAGUG